rnacentral:lncRNA from 1 species
UGGAGACCAUGUUUGGUGAACCUGAGCUUUGGGAAACGACUUCAAGCCUCAAGUCGUUUUGCCCCUUCCUGUGGCUGACAGCAUCAGAGACCUCUCUUCCUGACAUCUCCAUUAGUGUCAAGUAUUUCUUCAACCCCCAGUGAUGCAACAGUCUCGGGGAACUCCAGCUCUGUUCCCCGGGCUGGAGUGCAGUGGCCCAAUCUCAGCCCACUGCAACCAACGCCUCCUCUGUUCAAGGGAUUCUCCUGCCUCAGCUUCCCAAGUAGCUUGGAUUACAGGUGCGUAUCAGCAUGCCUGGAUAAUGUUGUACAUUUUUAUAGAGAUGGGGGCAGGUCUUGCUAUGUUGCCCGGGCUGGUCCCAAACUC